rnacentral:rRNA from 1 species
AUACGGAGGUGGCAAGCGUUACUCGGAAUUACUAGGCGUAAAGCGCAGGUAGGUGGUUUGGUAAGUCUGUAAUGAAAGCUCCUGGCUUAACCGGGAGAGGUUUACAGAUACUGUCAGGCUAGAGCAUGGAAGAGGGUACUGGAAUUCCCGGUGUAACGGUGAAAUGCGUAGAGAUCGGGAGGAACACCAAUGGCGAAAGCAGGUACCUGGUCCACUGCUGACACUGAGUUGCGAAAGCUAGGGGAGCAAACAGGAUUAGAUACCCUGGUAGUCCUAGCCGUAAACGAUGUAGACUAGAUAUGGGGGGUAUCGACCCCCUCCGUGUCGUCGCUAACGCAUUAAGUCUACCGCCUGGGGAGUACGGCCGCAAGGUUGAA